rnacentral:lncRNA from 1 species
UCGUCGCCUUCCCUUCCCCGCGCCGAUCGGUCUUCUCCUCCGGUGAGUCCCAGUCCUCGUCAUCGACCCAUGUCCGGACCCGGUUACUGCUGCAAUUCCCCAUUCUUCUUCUUCGUCGUCGUCCUCCUCGUCGAAGAAAGACUGCAAUGAGUAGUGGUCAUAAUGAGUUGCAUGUCAUGAUAUAUAUAUGGACGGGAAGAGCAGCAAGUUUUAGGAUAAGAACGAGUCAGAGUCAACAACAUUCACGCAGACGUGCCAUUAACUUGAUGCUUUUACCAGUUAUUAUAUACUGUGGCGGAACCAUUCAGCGAACCUUUCAUCCGUGUCAGGAAUUGGUCCGUCGUCAUACGGCAUCUGUGAGUUCAAAUAGCGACUCUCCAAGAAAGAGGUUGAGGCCGCGACGGCAGGAUUCAUUGACCUGCACAAAGUAAUUAGCUCGGUAAGCAUUGGGGAACGUGAGAGGCAGCUUCCAUUUACUUGGAUUUGUUCUGUACUAACUGCGUCUGCCUUUCGGGUUGCAGUCGGCGUGGAAGGAGGUCGCCGGAGCAGCAGAGGGGCUCGA